GUGCUUGCUUCGGCAGCAUAUAUACUAAAAUUGGAAUGAUACGUAGAUUAGUAUGGCCUCUGCACAAGGAUGACAGGCAAAUUCGUGAAGCGUUCCAUAUUUAA